rnacentral:lncRNA from 1 species
CAGCAGACAUGGAAGCCUUGUCCUAAAGAUGGUAUCUCAGCUGUCAUCCGUGAUCUCUAAAUGAUCACAAGGAGGAGAUCCUUGGACUCUUAUGCACUUGCAAUUCUCAGGUGGAGAGAGUUAAACAGAAGAGAUGACUCUUGACUGGUAGAAGUUCAGAAGGACACCAGAGAACGUGGGCAUGCCAGAAAGCACUCCCUGGCUGUUAUUUUCCCUCACAAAGAGCCACAAGAGGUCUUGGAGGUUACCAGCUGGAAGCAGAAAAUGACAGUGGAGAGAAACUGGGUCCUGGUCUCGUGUUUGAGCCCUUGGAGUUCCUAUGAC